AACGCGAAGAACCUUACCUGGGCUUGACAUGUGCCUGACCGCCAUGGAAACAUGGCUUCCCUUCGGGGCAGGUUCACAGGUGGUGCAUGGCUGUCGUCAGCUCGUGUCGUGAGAUGUUGGGUUAAGUCCCGCAACGAGCGCAACCCCCGUCGCAUGUUGCCAGCAUUUAGUUGGGGACUCAUGCGAGACUGCCGGUGACAAACCGGAGGAAGGUGGGGAUGACGUCAAGUCAUCAUGCCCCUUAUGUCCAGGGCUACACACGUGCUACAUUGGCGCAUACAGAGGGCUGCGAUACCGCGAGGUGGAGCGAAUCCCUUAAAGUGCGUCUCGGUUCGGAUUGCAGGCUGAAACUCGCCUGCAUGAAGGCGGAGUUGCUAGUAAUCGCGGAUCAGCAUUGCCGCGGUGAAUACGUUCCCGGGCCUUGUA
rnacentral:rRNA from 1 species